GUGAGGAAUAUUGGUCAAUGGGCGGGAGCCUGAACCAGCCAAGUCGCGUGAAGGAAGAAGGAUCUAUGGUUCGUAAACUUCUUUUGCAGGGGAAUAAAGUGCAGGACGUGUCCUGUUUUGUAUGUACCCUGAGAAUAAGGAUCGGCUAACUCCGUGCCAGCAGCCGCGGUAAUACGGAGGAUCCGAGCGUUAUCCGGAUUUAUUGGGUUUAAAGGGUGCGUAGGUGGUUUGAUAAGUCAGCGGUGAAAGUUUGCAGCUUAACUGUAAAAAUGCCGUUGAAACUGUCGGACUUGAGUGUAAAUGAGGUAGGUGGAAUGCGUGGUGUAGCGGUGAAAUGCAUAGAUAUCACGCAGAACUCCGAUUGCGAAGGCAGCUUACUAAGCUACAACUGACACUGAAGCACGAAAGCGUGGGGAUCAAACAGGAUUAGAAACCCCGGUAGUCC
rnacentral:rRNA from 1 species